AGGAUGAGAAACAAGUUCAAUGUUUUAAUAAAUGAGAUAGAGACAUAAGGGUCUUUUUAAGACAAUAAGUAUAAUAUUUGAACCACUUGAAUUAUUGGGGAUUCUUGGCUGAAUAAAGGGCAACAAACAGAGUCUUCUUCUGUGUUUGAAAACGCUAGUGACAUUAAAGGGGGCUGGUGAACUUGAAUCCCACAAGUUUUUUUUUUAUCAGCAAACAAACAAUAACAACAGUAGCAAGAAUAUGGUUCCAAUUUUAUUUCAAGGAUUCCUCCCAAGAACUUUAAUAGGAGGAUUUCUAGGAUUUCUUCAAGAGGUAAUUUCUUGUCUUUUCUUUCAACUAUGAUGAACAUAGAGGUUAAUGAAGGUAUUUAGGUGUUGAAAAUAUCUUUUAAAUUGUGGAUUAAGUGAAUUUUCGAAAUGGUUAUUCUUGAAAUUUAAGAAAUAGGUGCAAAAGGUCAUGACUAGUACUUUGGGGUUGUGAAAUAGUUGAAUAUUGUCCUUCAUGAUUUUUAAUAAUUUAAUUAUUAUUGGGUAUUGAAUUAUUAAGGUCAUUAGAUGGAAGAAAGGUGGGUUUGAAUUGAGGAUGGUCCAGUAGUUAUGUCCUGAACUCUAUAUGAGUUGGAUUCCGUUGAAUUCAAUUGGAUUUAAAACAAAAUGGUUAUUAUCACGUAGAUUGAAUCAAGAUGAGCGCGUAGAAGGUUCUUGCAUGUUAUGGAAGACUAGAAUAAGGUAAGUUAAGAUUACCUUCUCUUAAGGAUUAUUUUGCAAAUUUCAUAAAUUCCAAAGAGUUACUAAAAUUCUUUCAAUGUUGGAUUGACUUCGUUAGAGCGAGCAAAAUCUACCAACCAUGGUUUAACAUUUUAUAGUGUAUAGUGUUAUUAUGUAGUACUGUUUACGUAUAAGUUGUGGCGCUGGAUAUUUUCAAGCUUUCAUUCUUUGGUAACACUUUAUAUUGCAUUUUACCAACUUGAUUUGAGUUGAUAAUAUUGUAAAAUGUAAAAGUUUAUUUGUGAAUGCACUUCCAAGUUAUUAAAUUAUCUUCAAAGGAAAUAUUGCUCACUGAAGAUAUUAAAAAAAAAUGUACAAGACCUAUGGGUCAAAAUGCUUUAAAGUUAUAGUUUGAGGAGAAUUAUAUAUAUUGAAUAUGGAUCACACUUGCCAUGUGUGUAUCACUUGAUGUCCAUAGAGACAGUUCACCAUGCUAGCACUAUCGUCAAAAUCCCACGACUUUGGGUGAGACGGGCUCGUGACCAGGCGAUGGUCACUACAGUUAUCGAAUAUUGUUGCUUAUGGCAACUAUGGAACUCCCCACAAAAAGGUUUAAAGUUUAUUGAAGGUCCAUAAUCAUAGAAAGAGUUACAGUUUUAUAAAAAUGAUUUAAAUCCUUGAAAUGCUUAAAUGUUCAUCAUUUAUCACCACUAUUUUUGCAAAGUGUUUGACUUAUUACAUAUCAUGUGUAUUUUUUUUAUGUAUCCCGAAAGUAUCGCUUCAAUCUUAAGGAGUCAAUGAUACUUACGGGGUACAAUUUCUAUAGAAAUUGUACUCAGCCUCCUUUGUGAGGCAUCUUACCUUAUUGUUUCAGAUCCUACUCACUUUGGAGCUGACAGUGUGUGCUAGGUGUCUUCUCCAUCUUCCAGUUGCUUUUGGUGAGCCCACUACUACUUCUGUGGGUUCAUUGUUAUUAUAGUACUUCUUUUGGAUGAGCCGGGGAUUUAUGUCUCGUACCAUCAUUCUCGUGUACUUCCUUAGAGGUUCCAGGCACAGUUGUGGGAGGUCUAUGGGUUUAUGAGAACUAUCAUUUUAUCUUCAUGUUAUGCUGUUAUUUUUAUUUCUGCUACUUAUGUAUUUUGGCCAUUGGCUCAACUUAUGUUUCGAGACUAGAAGGAUGUUUUAUCAUCGAUACUUAUUAUUUUCGGAAAA
rnacentral:lncRNA from 1 species